rnacentral:rRNA from 1 species
UACAGGGGGUGCAAACGUUGCUCGGAAUUAUUGGGCGUAAAGCGCGCGUAGGCGGUUGCUUAAGUCGGAUGUGAAAGCCCUUGGCUUAACCGAGGAAGUGCAUCCGAAACUGAGCAGCUAGAGUACGAAAGAGGGUCGCGGAAUUCCCGGUGUAGAGGUGAAAUUCGUAGAUAUCGGGAGGAACACCGGUGGCGAAGGCGGCGACCUGGGUCGAGACUGACGCUGAGGCGCGAAAGCGUGGGGAGCAAACAGG